rnacentral:tmRNA from 1 species
GGGGAUGUAAAGGUUUCGACGGGGAUGCGUCGAUGCAAGCUGCAUAUAGCUUGGUGCACUUUACGCACCACUUUAAAUUAAACGCUGAAGAUUCUAAUUUAGCUUACGCUGCCUAAGGUAUAACCUUGCAGCCGUCCUAGUUGUAUUGCCGCGGUGCAAUGUCGGGCGUCAUUAUUAAGCGGUCUAUGUGCGUCGGGGACGCUUCUAUCCGACCAUAAAAACUGAAGCUACUAAAAUAUCGCUGCCUGUUUGUGAGUGUAGGUAUUUUAGGAAUCAAAAAAAUCACAGACUAAAUAUGUAGACGCUUGUAUCAAACAUUUUCGGACGCGAGUUCGAUUCUCGCCAUCUCCACCA